CCCCUCUCUCUCUUUCCCUCUUCUUCUCACUCUAUCCCUGACCGCUGAUGCAGUUCCAUCUCCCCUCCAUACUCAAAGACAAUUGAUUCAGGUAUUUCUGAACUCGGUAGCGGGUAUUGGCUGAUCGGAGGCAAAGUCAUCGGAGUUUAGCAAGGUAGCUGCUGGUGUUCGCAGCACUGCUUUUCUCCCUCUUCAUUUCAUUAGUCUGUGUUUUGUAUAUUUCAUACUUUUCGGUUGUAUUUAUACCCUAGUAGAUGCUCAUGACUUGUGACACCCCGGUAUCGGGCUGGGUUUGGGCUGUAUUUCGCACAUUAUAAAAUCUUUUGCUUAGUCUUUAGUUUAUUUACUCAUGCUUAGACUGUUUAUUAAUGUUUAACUAUUUAAAAAUUGAA